UGAGUACGAGAUGCUACGGCAUCGAAGCAGUCUAUGUCAUACUUCCAAGAAAAGCUUGCACUGUCAUAAACAAAGAAUGCCUGUACCAUAACCGACACAGGUGGGUAGGUAGAGUAUACUAAGGGGCGCGAGAUAACUCUCUCUAAGGAACUCGGCAAAAUGACUCCGUAACUUCGGGAGAAGGAGUGCCUUAUUUCUAAGGUUGCAAUAACAAGAUCCAAGCAACUGUUUACCAAAAACACAGGUCUCCGCUAAGUCGUAAGACGAUGUAUGGGGGCUGACGCCUGCCCAGUGCCAGAAGGUUAAAGAAGUUGGUUAGCAUUAGCGAAGCUGAUAACUGAAGCCCUGGUGAACGGCGGCCGUAACUAUAACGGUCCUAAGGUAGCGAAAUUCCUUGUCGGGUAAGUUCCGACCCGCACGAAAGGCGUAAUGAUUUGGAUACUGUCUCGGAGAGGGGCUCGGUGAAAUAGACUUGUCUGUGAAGAUGCGGACUACCUGCACCUGGACAGAAAGACCCUAUGAAGCUUUACUGUAACUUGAGAUUGAAAUUGGACUUUAUUUGCGCAGUAUAGGUGGGAGGCGCCGAGAAUAAUCUUGCGGGAUUGUUGGAGCCAUCAGUGAGAUACCACUCUUGUAAUGUUAGAUUUCUAACUUUGUAUCAUUAUCUGGUCAAAGAACAGUUUCAGGCGGGCAGUUUGACUGGGGCGGUCGCCUCCCAAACGGUAACGGAGGCGCACAAAGGUUUCCUCUGAACGGGUAGAAAUCGUAUCUAGAGUGUAAAGGCAUAAGGAAGCUUGACUGUGAGACCUACAAGUCGAGCAGGGACGAAAGUCGGUCUUAGUGAUCUGACGGUGCUGAGUGGAAAGGCCGUCACUCAACGGAUAAAAGUUACUCUAGGAUAACAGGCUGAUCUCCCCCAAGAGUUCACAUCGACGGGGAGGUUUGGCACCUCGAUGUCGGCUCAUCGCAUCCUGGGGCGGUAGUACGUCCCAAGGGUUGGGCUGUUCGCCCAUGAAAGCGGUACGCGAGCUGGGUUCAACGUCGUGAGACAGUUCGGUCCAUAUCCGGUGUAGGCGUUAGAAUAUUGAGAGGAGCCUUCUCUAGUACGAGAGGACCGAGAAGGACAUACCUCUGGUGUACCAGUUAUCGUGCCAACGGUAAACGCUGGGUAGCUAUGUAUGGAGUGGAUAACCGCUGAAAGCAUCUAAGUGGGAAGCCCACCUCAAGAUAAG
rnacentral:rRNA from 1 species